AAGCAGAUGAGAAAUUAACAGACCAGAAAACCAGAAAAAGCUGCCUAUAGGCAUUAGCACAAAGUCUUUUCCUUGGCACUGUCUUUGUUUUCAAAGAUCAUACUUUGGGUUUUGUUAACUGAACUGCUGAGUCUUUUCUGUCAUUUUUCUGGUCAGCAAGAAGGCUCAGAGAGGGCAGACCUACACACCUCAUGGUGGAGCAGGUUUCUUAGCUGCUGGCCUUUGGAGAAGAAUGCACUUUGCAAGUGCAUGCAACCAGUGAUACUGAGAGCAGGUCUCCAUAGAACCCAAAUGCUAUUUGGGAUCACAGUUUGAAGAUGCCAGGGACCACGAGGAGCCACUGAGGGCCUGCUUUGAGAAGAUCACCUAGGUUGGGACCAGGCACUU
rnacentral:lncRNA from 1 species